rnacentral:rRNA from 1 species
GACGAACGCUGGCGGCGUGCCUAAUACAUGCAAGUCGAGCGGAUCUUCAUUAGCUUGCUUUUGAAGAUCAGCGGCGGACGGGUGAGUAACACGUGGGCGACCUGCCUGUAAGACUGGGAUAACUUCGGGAAACCGGAGCUAAUACCGGAUAAUCCUUUCCCUCACAUGAGGGAAAGCUGAAAGACGGUUUCGGCUGUCACUUACAGAUGGGCCCGCGGCGCAUUAGCUAGUUGGUGAGGUAACGGCUCACCAAGGCAACGAUGCGUAGCCGACCUGAGAGGGUGAUCGGCCACACUGGGACUGAGACACGGCCCAGACUCCUACGGGAGGCAGCAGUAGGGAAUCUUCCGCAAUGGACGAAAGUCUGACGGGGGCAACGCCGCGUGAACGAUGAAGGCUUUCGGGUCGUAAAGUUCUGUUGUCAGGGAAGAACAAGUAUCGGAGUAACUGCCGGUACCUUGACGGUACCUGACCAGAAAGCCACGGCUAACUACGUGCCAGCAGCCGCGGUAAUACGUAGGUGGCAAGCGUUGUCCGGAAUUAUUGGGCGUAAAGCGCGCGCAGGCGGUUCCUUAAGUCUGAUGUGAAAGCCCCGGCUCAACCGGGGAGGGUCAUUGGAAACUGGGGAACUUGAGUGCAGAAGAGGAGAGCGGAAUUCCACGUGUAGCGGUGAAAUGCGUAGAGAUGUGGAGGAACACCAGUGGCGAAGGCGGCUCUCUGGUCUGUAACUGACGCUGAGGCGCGAAAGCGUGGGGAGCGAACAGGAUUAGAUACCCUGGUAGUCCACGCCGUAAACGAUGAGUGCUAAGUGUUAGAGGGUUUCCGCCCUUUAGUGCUGCAGCAAACGCAUUAAGCACUCCGCCUGGGGAGUACGGCCGCAAGGCUGAAACUCAAAGGAAUUGACGG